CUGGUCAAAAGUAGUGCACUACCUACCCUAUGUGGGCUCUGGUCAAAGUAGUGCACUAUAAAGGGAAUAGGGUGUAAUUUGGGCCACAGUGACAUUGCGGGGGUCAAGGAAUGACUCGUGAAGCUGUGAGAACUGAUGUUAUGCAGGGAUAUUAACUAUACAAAAAUGUUUAGAUAUUUAACACACACACACAAAAAAAAAAUAUUGCUAGUCUUUUUUGCUUUUGCACUUGUCACUUAAAACCCAAAACCCCUAGUGAGUUUAACAGUCAAACUUCCAGGGGUUAAGAGUUUCCAAAACCUCUUCUAUGGAUUAUAUGUCUACGGCCACGACGCAACAACAUGUAUAUUUAGAGAGCGUGUUGUAGGCAACCGGUAACUGCCCAAAUAAAGGAAACCCCUUGAGUAAAUGAGGGGGAUACAAAAGUUUGUGUGGGGGUGCAUUUUCCUGGCAUGGUCCAGGUCCACUUGUAGAAUCUAUGCCAAGGUGCAUUGAAGCUGUUCUGGCAGCUCGUGGUGACACAACACCCAUUUAAGACGUUUAUGUAGGUGUUUCCUUUAUUUUGGCAAUUACCUGUAUUUGAUCAAAUUUUAACCAGUUAUUAUAAAUUUUAACUAUUGCUCCUCUGCGACUAAAUUAUGUUCUCUGGUGUAUUUUGAACAUUGAGAGCACGCUCCUGUGAUUGGAUAGAUUUUUUUUUAUUUUUUAUAACUCAAUAUUUUUUUUAAUUUUUUUGCCUCUUGGGCCCAGCCCCCUGACUCACACAAUUGACCCGUCACAUUUAUUUAUUUAUUAUGCAGUUUAUUUUAUUAAUCAGUUACACAAUCAAGGCAGGCCCUCCCCCCCAAGUUACCCACGUGGACGCCCCUGCCUCCUCUUCUCUCCCCCGUCUGAUAAUUAGCAGAGCGGCAGCAGGCUGUCUAAAACUCAUUGACAGCGGGCUCCUGAAUCCUCCUGUGGUUGGCGGUUGCAGUAAAAAAGAUCUCUAUCUAAUAUAUAUACUGUAUAUAAGUGUCUUGGGGGGGGGGGCCCACACGGGCCUGGGCCCCGGGGCUUCAGCCCCGGUAAGCCCCUGCAUUAAUCUAGCCCUGUAUGUAGGGAUUAGGUUGCCAUUUGAGACAAUUGUGUCUGCAAUGUGCAAAGGUUAUUUUUCAUGUCCAUAUUACUGCUUGAAUUUACUAUAAUACAAACAAUAACAACCUGUUUGAACAUAUUAGCCAUAAGGCCUAAACAACAUUCCAUAUUUAAAAUUGACUAUUCAUCUUUUUUUUUCCUUUUUUUUUCUCCUAAUGUAUUUGACUUUAAUCAAUAUUAUAGUUUAAUGCACAUUUUAAUGUUCACUCUUUGUAUAUCUCUCUGGGAUGAGUUGACGAGUCCUUGUCCCAAAUGGUUCCUUGUGUACUACUUGGGACCAGGGCCCCAUUUGGGUUCACUAUAAGGAAUAGGCCAGGGUGCCACUUGGGACUCAUAUUUUAUAAAGAGGUUAGGAACGUAUUACAUGUAUUAAUAUGAAUUGACCCAUCUGUCCCCAACCAACAAUCCUGCGUCUGCUUGUUCAGAAACCAAUCUAUUGAUUACAGUCUAUUGCUCAACACAUGGACGAGACUAAACACUUCUAUUAGCUUCUGACAUCACUUCCUUUUUUUGGGGGAAAAGAUAAAUAACUAUUGUUGUGAUGUUUUGGGAGGCGGCAGCACACCGUGUGGUUACUGACUGUUCUACUGAACCCAACAGAACAGUGGCAGCAGGUGUAAUGUAUUAUUCAUAUGUUUUUUUCUUUUCUAUUUGGCUCCUGUAAAUAUGUGAAGAGUUUGAAUGGCUUAUUAUAACUGGGUGUUUUGAAAUGGGUUUAUAUAUCAACUUCUUGAUGUAAAAUAAUAAAACAUGUUAAACUGGUAUAAGUCGACCAAGUCUUUUUUAUUUUAUUUAUCGAGAGUUAACUAGUACAUGCAUAGGGUGGGGAAGAACUGUGACAAUGUGGGGUGGGCCUCUUUCUCAAUUCAUCUUUCAUUGAUUCCUUGCAUCUUCUCUCCUUGCCUUGUCCACAAAAGGCAUUGGCUGUGUUUGAGCGGAUCGAUACCGUAAUGUAUCAUGGGUAAAUUGACUGACUGAUAGUUAUUUAUGAUGUGAUGGGUUUUAUGUACAUCAGUCACUUAGCAGUCACCUGAAAUGUCGAACAAACUAACAUAUGGAAUUGUUUUAAGAUGGUUAUCCCAUGGCUCAUUUAGCUAUUUGAUUUUGAAUUUUAGGACCCUGUUAUGUAUAUAAAAACCAAAUUUGAUAAAA
rnacentral:lncRNA from 1 species